rnacentral:misc_RNA from 1 species
CAUGCUCGUGCGUCGAACUGUCGAAUCGCGGUCUCCUCAGUUCAAGCCAGCGUGCACGAUGUGCCCAGCGGGCAAAGGUCGGGUUCCUGUGCUGCGUGCCCACGCAAGCGGAAAUCGGUUCGUUUUUGUCUGACAUUUGCCCGAUGCCCGUUGAGGGCAUGAGGCGAACGCCGCGGCGCCUCCCGUGUUCCACCCGGGUCGCUUCGACCGUCGUGGCCCACGGAAGGUCGCCCGUGCUUCGGGAUGCGGAAGGCCUGGUGCGGUCGAGGGUGUCGCCUCUCGGCCGUGGAAAACUGUCCCUCAAACAAGAACGACCUACGGCUCCCGUCUCCGGCCCAAGGCGGAGCGGGAGUCCGGGGUCACGGAGGAAUGC